UAGUUUUGUUGUAACUUUUUUUUAUACUAUCGUUGAUGCCUCCAUUCAGUCACGUAGUACGCAAGAAUUUAAGCUUUGGAGGUACUUUUUCUUACCAGCACUGUGACUCCCGUGCCCAUCCUUUGCUAGCUUUGUAUUGUGCGCUUACACGCAAUAGUUUAGGAUGGGAUUUUUUUAUCUUGUAUUUUUUUUCUUGAGCAGCCAUGGUCUUUUGAUAUCCUAAAGUACAUACCAAUAAUUUUCUCUGCUUAACUUCUUGAUUUGGUUUGAACUUUUUAAAAUUUUCUUUCUGUACUUCCUACUUGAUGUUUGGCAACACUGCAAGUGGAAAAUGCAUGCCUUGGUAAGCAUCAGAGUGCCACUGAGGUCAUUGAAAGGAUUUGCAUCCUAUCCUACUCAGGAUUAUGACAGGCUGACAAACCCUAGUGUAAAUAGGCAUUCCAAAUUUGAUCCCUUCAGACAUUGAGGCAGAGGAGGCCAGGACUACUUAUGAGUGUUAAAAUACAUCAUUGUUUUAUACAUUGAUGUUUUCAUUGUUUUAUAUAUGAUGUUUUCUGUUUCAUUCUGAUGGAAACCCCAAAUGCUUGCAGAGUUUGAAGAUGUUCUUCUAGGAGACAUAAGUCUUCCAUAACCUUAGUCUUGGGAAAGUGCAAUAAUGCUGGAACAGGUAAUGAGCGAGGGAGAAAAAAAAUCAGCAUAUGGAAAUAUAAAGGGAUGCACAUAAAUACAGGUUUGUCCUAGUAAAAGUUAAUUAUGGGCUUUGCAGUAACUACUGGAGAUUUUCUGUUAUUGCAGCUUGUUCUCUGCAAGAACACUGACUCAGCUGCCAGUAGCAAUCUAAACAGCAAACACCAUGCAACAUCCAGGGAGUACCACAUGUGAGCAGUGGGGACAUUUUCAGUCCCCUUACCCUUGACCUUAAAGGAUGUAUAGGGAAGUACAAGGAAUGGCAAGGUUGGCCAUAGGGAACAGAACUACUCCUUAAGAAUCAUAUCUUGGAUUCUUAGAAAAAAAUGAAAACAUACAGGUCUCUAAAUCAAUGGGUGACAUAUAAAUACUGAGCUACUGAUGGUUUGGAUGCAGUGCCAGGGAUAUUAAACGAAACCAUCAGGAAAGUGUGAUGCCUCAGGUUUUAGCUUUUGUAUUUUUCACAUUCUGUACUGCUUUAGUGUGUAGUUCUGAGCUUGGUAUUAGGGGAUAGUAAGCUCUCUUCACAGAAUAGGUAGACAAAACAAUUCCUUCUCUAAUGGGACCAAGGACAAAUGAUCCAAAUUUCAGGCCCAAGAGUCUAAACAACAGUGGACUGGAGAGAGAAAAACAAGGAUGGGACUUCAUAAGCUAAAAGCUAUAAUUGGACAAUUAACUCCAAUAUGCUAAUGGACUAGAACUUACAGAAGUGUGAGACCCUGUGACUGGUCAUCCAUUUUGUGACCAUUUUGGGUUCAUCUUGGGUGUAGCCCUGGCUGGGCUUUUGUACUGCCCAAGGUGUAUCCAAUGAGGCCUUCUAAUAAAUACCUACUUUAUUCUUUAACUGUGUCUAGUCUCUGUUCUAGGUCAGCCUUCACAAGGCAUUAAGUAGGUUCAAAGAAAAGAGGCAGAUUUUUACAGAGUAAGUAGUUAAGCUGAAAACCACCUUGCCUCAGGAUAUUACAUACCAGAACUUGGACAUCAAGUUAAUUCACUUACAAAUUAGUAGAAGGAAAAAACCAUUAUAGCCUAGUAGAGGAGUAGUUGAUCUGCAUCUCAGGCAGUCCCAUGAAGUGCAAAUUCUGAUUCCAUACACUUUUUGUAGGACCUUGCAUUAGAAUCCUCUAUGGUUAAUCAUGGCUUUCUGUCAGGUAACACUAGAUCACAUGAAAUCCAUGCCAGGGCAAAGGCCUUACUUUCAUUUGAUUAAUCUUUCUUGUAUGCUGGAACUAUUUGGAAUUCCACAAAGCUUCUAAUGUGAAAAUUCUUUAGUGUAAUAUGCAGAACUUUCUGUACAUGCAAACUUUUCUUUACCCACAGUACUUUCUGAACUGUUCUGAUCUCAUGUCAGCAUGACUAUAAUAUGAACUCCUACUCACUAUAAUAUCAAACUACCCAUGCCUCAAGGACCAUGCCCAGAAGUGAUAAGUACGAACAUUUAAGAAGACACGCAUCCAUAGGUUUAAAAUUUUUAUUGUGCUGCCAAGAGCCAAAUUACAAGAAACCGCCUUACAGUUAAAAAAGUAAACAAGCAAUCUGCUGAACCGCAGUGCACUCCAAGUGCCACAUAUGCAUCUAUUUUUCAGAAAAUUAUAUCUGCAUUUCUCUUACAAGAGCACAACAGGAACCAAAGUAAAAGAGUGUAAUGGAUACAGCACAUAGGAUAAAUCAUAUCUUUAAAAUAAUAAUAAUAAAAUAAUAAUAAUAAAAACAUUUUACACCAUGUCCUAUAUCCUGCUAAUAUUUUCAGAAUAUGGCCUUGAUUGUAAAACAAAAGCAAGCAUUUACAAUUUCUGGAUAAAGACUGCUUACUCUUAUGCAAGGAAUGGAUGUUUUGUCUUGACAAAAUCUCUGUGGUUACUGGACAGAAAAAUCUCUGUUUUAUUAUCAGAUUGAGUACAAAACACUGGGGAGACUACAUUUUUUCUUAUUGGUGGUUGGAAACUGAAGUUAUAUAAGCAGAAAAAAUGUUGACCCUUAAUGAUACACCUAUUUUUUUCUUUGAUGCAAACAGCUAGAACACCUUUUUGAUAUUCUAAAACAAAAAAAUUCGUUAAUCUUCAGAUUAAUAAAUUAGGUCAUUAUAAUAAUAAAUUAGGUUUUUUUUUUUCAGUUUUAAAGUUCAGCAAUCUCUGACCAAGUAUUUACAACAAUACUUGAGAGUUCCUUUACAAAAAAUACAUUUUCUUUUCACAUUAAGCAUACUGGGUAUCUGUGUCUCUUAUGACAAGCAUUUGUAAAAGAAAAAAGGCAAUGCACAAAUGGGUAAUUAGUAUAAAAGUGCCAAGACCUGUUUGGAAAGUUAACAUUGUAUUAUACAGUCAGAGUUAUAAAUGAGGCAAGCUACAACAAACUUCCAGCUUAAUGCGGACAAUAUUCCAGUAGUUGUUUCAAACAAUUGUUUGCAAAAAAAAAAAAAAAGAAAAAAA
ensembl:lncRNA